UUACGACCAUAUCAGACUAAAACGACGGUUCUCAUCCGAUCACCGAAGUUAAGCAACAUUGAGAAUGGCCUGUACCUAGAUGGGUAGCCGUUUGGAAACAUCUGGUGCUGUAUG